AUUGAACGCUGGCGGAAUGCCUAACACAUGCAAGUCGAGCGGAGUAGCAAUACUCAGCGGCGGACGGGUGAGGAAUACAUAGGAACUUGCCUUUAGGUGGGGGAUAGCUUGGGGACACUCAAGGUAAUACCGCAUGAUCUCGCAAGAGCAAAGGGGCGCAAGUCUCGCCUUUAGAGAGGCCUAUGUCUGAUUAGCUAGUUGGCGGUGUAAUAGACCACCAAGGCGAGUAUCAGUAACUGGGCUGAGAGGACGAUCAGUCACACCGGAACUGAGACACGGUCCGGACUCCUACGGGAGGCAGCAGUGGGGAAUAUUGGACAAUGGGCGAAAGCCUGAUCCAGCAAUUCCGCGUGUGUGAAGAAGGCCUUCGGGUUAUAAAGCACUUUAGUGAGGGAAGAAACAGCUUGGCCACACCAAGCCUUGACGGUACCUCAAGAAUAAGCACCGGCUAACUCUGUGCCAGCCGCCGCAGUAA
rnacentral:rRNA from 1 species